rnacentral:ncRNA from 1 species
AGUUCUCAGGGCGGGGCGUAAUUCCCCACCGGUGGUAUAGCCCACGAGCGCUUAAUAUUUAUCCUAUUAUUAUUUAAUAUUGAUAAACAUUAAGGACAAGCAGAUUUGGUGUAAUUCCAAAGCCGACAGUUAAAGUCUGGAUGAAAGAGAGU